rnacentral:rRNA from 1 species
AAAAUCCGUUCAUCAAUCCGAAGACGUGAUGCGGACCGAAUUAAGAGUAGGGAAGUGUGUGAGCCAUGCGUCAAGAAAAGCCGCUAUUGUUUUACUUAAGCCCGUACCGUAAACCGACACAGGUGGAUGAGGAGAGAAUCCUAAGGCCGACGGGAGAAGCAUUGUUAAGGAACUCGGCAAAAUGACUCCGUAACUUCGGGAGAAGGAGUGCCAGCGAGAGCUGGCCGCAGAGAAUUGGCCCAAGCAACUGUUUAGCAAAAACACAGGUCUAUGCAAAACCGUAAGGUGAAGUAUAUGGGCUGACGCCUGCCCGGUGCUGGAAGGUUAAGAGGAGAGGUUAGCGGUAACGCGAAGCUUUGAAUUUAAGCCCCAGUAAACGGCGGCCGUAACUAUAACGGUCCUAAGGUAGCGAAAUUCCUUGUCGGGUAAGUUCCGACCCGCACGAAAGGCGUAAUGAUUUGGGCACUGUCUCAACAAUGCACCCGGUGAAAUUGAAAUUCCAGUGAAGAUGCUGGUUACCUGCGCCAGGACGGAAAGACCCCAUGGAGCUUUACUCCAGCUUGAUACUGGGAUUCGGUAUUGCAUGUACAGGAUAGGUGGGAGGCUAGGAAGUGAUAACGCCAGUUGUCACGGAGCCGCUGUUGGGAUACCACCCUUGCAGUAUUGGAUUUCUAACCAGCGACCAUGAACUGGUCGGGGGACAAUGUCAGGUGGGGAGUUUGACUGGGGCGGUCGCCUCCGAAAGGGUAUCGGAGGCGCUCAAAGGUUCCCUCAGAAUGGACAGAAACCAUUCGAAGAGUGCAAAGGCAGAAGGGAGCUUGACUGCGACACCGACGGGUGGAGCAGGUACGAAAGUAGGACUUAGUGAUCCGGUGGUAUAAAGUGGGAUUGCCAUCGCUCAACGGAUAAAAGCUACCCUGGGAUAACAGGCUUAUCACUCCCAAGAGUUCACAUCGACGGAGUGGUUUGGCACCUUGAUGUCGGCUCAUCGCAUCCUGGGCUGAAGUAGGUCCCAAGGGUUGGGCUGUUCGCCCAUUAAAGCGGUACGCGAGCUGGGUUCAGAACGUCGUGAGACAGUUCGGUCCCUAUCCGGCGUGGGCGUAGGAUAUUUGAGAGGAGCUGUCCUUAGUACGAGAGGACCGGGAUGGACUGGCCGCUGGUGUAUCUGUUGCAUACCAAAUGCAUGGCAGAGUAGCCAAGCCGGGACGGGAUAAACGCUGAAGGCAUCUAAGCGUGAAGCCCCCCUCAAGAUGAGAUAUCCCUACGUAAGUAGUAAGACCCCUUGAAGACGACAAGGUAGAUAGGUCAGAGGUGGAAGUACAGUAAUGUAUGGAGCUGACUGAUACUAAUCGGUCGAGGGCAUGAUC